CGCACAUUGCGCCCUUUGGUAUUCCGAAGGGCAUGCCUGUUCGAGCGUCAUUUGCACCCUCAAGCUCUGCUUGGUGUUGGAGGCCGCCCCGGCGGGGCGCCCCCGAAACGCAGCGGCGACGUAGCCGGACUCCCUGGCGUAGUGACAACGGCCUCGCUCCGGAGCUCCGGUCGUGCGUUUGCCGGACAACGCCCACUAUUACAUUGAAAUCGACCUCGGAUCAGGUAGGAUUACCCGCUGAACUUAA
rnacentral:misc_RNA from 1 species